GUGUUAGGAUUUAUGGCCUUUGCUUCUAAACCUUCUCCUAUUUAUGGGGGUUUAAGUUUAGUUUUAAGUGGUGGUGGAGUC